AUUGAACGCUGGCGGCAGGCUUAACACAUGCAAGUCGAGCGGAGAUGAGGUGCUUGCACCUUAUCUUAGCGGCGGACGGGUGAGUAAUGCUUAGGAAUCUGCCUAUUAGUGGGGGACAACAUUCCGAAAGGAAUGCUAAUACCGCAUACGCCCUACGGGGGAAAGCAGGGGAUCUUCGGACCUUGCGCUAAUAGAUGAGCCUAAGUCGGAUUAGCUCGUUGGGGGGAUAAAGGCCUACCAAGGCGACGAUCUGUAGCGGGUCUGAGAGGAUGAUCCGCCACACUGGGACUGAGACACGGCCCAGACUCCUACGGGAGGCAGCAGUGGGGAAUAUUGGACAAUGGGCGGAAGCCUGAUCCAGCCAUGCCGCGUGUGUGAAGAAGGCCUUUUGGUUGUAAAGCACUUUAAGCGAGGAGGAGGCUACCUGGAUUAAUACUCUAGGAUAGUGGACGUUACUCGCAGAAUAAGCACCGGCUAACUCUGUGCCAGCAGCCGCGGUAAGAC
rnacentral:rRNA from 1 species